rnacentral:lncRNA from 1 species
GGUGCUUUGUAAUUCAAGGUAUUUGAAUGAGUGGAUUAAUGCCUUAUUAAUGAAGGGAGUGGAUGUAGCCAUGUAAGUGGUGAAUCAGGAUAAAUAUAUUUGUUAAAUUAAUUAUGCUUUCAUUGUUUACUGCUUUUGAAUCCGAUUGCUUUUUAUCUGACUAAUUCAUAAAAAGCAACCAACCUUCAUCAAAUUAACAAAAAGUUAUCAACUUUAUCAAACACAAUUCAACCCACUUCUCGUGUUUUCACCUUCAAAUGAAACUCUGAAAACUGAUAUUACUGAUCUUCAAACAAAAAAUGCAAAUCUGAAAACGAAUAUUGCUGAACUUAAUGCUGAAAAUCUAACUAUGAAAAGUAAUUAUAGUUCUACAUCAAUUGAAAAUACCACAUGUAACUCUGAUAAGCAUGAAGUAGUAUUUCAAGAUUUUCUUGAUAAUGGUAUGGAAAGAAACAAGUAUGCAUCUAUGAUUUAUGGUGUUAGAAGGAAUGGUAAUAGAGGGAUAGGAUUUCAAGAAGAAAAAAACUAAACCUAAAUUUGUUCCCUCUGAUGAUUUAUGUACUAUUUGCUAUAAGAAAGACCACACAAAAGUAUCUUGUCCUAUGCUAACCACAUGGAAAGACAAGAAACCUUUAAGAACUAACAAACCAUGACCAAACCAAAUUUGGAUACCAUAGGAUAAAAUUGUUUAUGUUGCAGAUGUUCUAAGCAACCAAAUUGAAACACAAGUCAUGGUGCCUUGUCAAUGGAUGCUUGCAAUAUAUGAAGGGAAAUAUGUUUAUGUUCUAAGAUCUAACAAACAAAAGCCAACUGACUCUGUUGGAAGAAGGACUUUUCAACAUAAUACCUAUCACAACCAGAAUCAUAUGAUAAACCAAAAAUAUCAGACAAAUCUGAAGUACCCACAUAAUGAAAACUGGUAGAGAAACCACACAUAUCAAUAAAAUUCAAAAUUGGAAGAGAAAUCACACAUAACAAUAGAACUGGAACCACCAAAACAAUCAAAAUUACCACCAGUUCCAAAAUUACCAGAGGAACCUGAUACAUCAAGAGAAACGAAAGUGUUAGAUUAACAAUCAGAAUCAGGAGACUUCUUUGAACAUUUCAAUCAAAUUCUUCAAGACUACAAACCGAGAUGGGAAUUCAAAUCCCUCCAUCCAGACCCUCUAAUCUAGGAAUAUGCAAAUUCAGAAUCUCAAAACCAGAAAAUAAUAAAUAAGAGGGGUUUCAGAGUAACUAAAACUGUUGACAUAUAGGUUAUAUCUUUCUUCAAAUUUAUUUAUUGUCUAAUAUUAUAUUUAUUGUGAUAACAAUCAGCUUGACCUUAAAAAUCAAACCUAGAUAAGUAUUUUGCAAGUUCUCAAAAAUAUAGAGGAACAAGGAGAUCCACAUAAUAUGAACACUUCAACAUAAGUAGCAUACAAGUUUGGUUUUUCCAAAGAAGCAGAAACAGACAAAAACAAACUGAUGUUUUGGUUGUAUUGAUUUUAUUCUUCAAUCAUCUUAUUUAUAUUAUGUUAUAUGACAAGAAAAAUGAACUUAAAAAGUCAAAGCAAGUUGAGUAUACUACAGGGUUACUAGAACAAGAAGAAGCAGAUGUAGACAAACCAUAAGAUGACAAAUCUUCAAAGGAUAAAUAUGAUCAAGAUAGAAACAAUCAAGAUAAGUCAAAAGCAAGAUCUGGAUGAAAGUACAUGUCAUCUCAUUGCAAGUGCAAGUGAUCAUUUAUGGAUCAUAUCAUCAUUAAAAGAUACCAUAUUAUUUGGCUCACUCUCAUGAAUUAAGCCUACCAUUGUUGAUGAAACAUUGGUAAAUGAUGGAUGGAUUCUUGCAAUGCAAGAAGAGUUAAAUGCAUUUAAGAGGGGUGAUGUUUCGAGUCUAGUUCAUAGAUCAAAGAAGAACAUUAUUGGAACCAAGUGAGUUUGCAGAAACAAGCUAAAUGGAAAAGGUGAAGUGGUCAGAAAUAAGGCAAGACUUGUCGUAUUAGGCUACAAUUAGCAAUAAGGCAUUGAUUACACUGAGAUAUUUGCUCCAAUGGCCAGUUUAAAAGCUAUCCGUAUCCUACUUUCUUUUGCUGCAAAUAAUAACAUUACAUUAUUUCAAAUAGAUGCUAAAAGUGUUUUUCUAAAUGGUUAUAUAAUGAUGAAUUCUAUGUUAAACAACCUGCAAGUUUUGAAAAUUCUGAAUUUCCAAAUCAUGUUUUUAAACUUAAGAAAUCUAUGUAUGGUCUAAAACAAACACCUAGGGCAUGAUAUGAUAGACUUAGUAACUUCUUGCUUAAAAAUAUUUUUAAAAUAAGACAAAUAGAUAAUGCACUUUUUAGAAAAUCAAUAAGAGAUGACAUUCUUAUUAUUCAAAUUUAUGUUGAUGACAUUAUUUUUUAUUCUACUAAUGGAACUUUUUGGCAAGAAUUUUCUAAAUUGAUGCAGCUUGAAUAUCAAAUGAGUAUGAUGGGAGAACUUAAGUUCUUCUUAGGGAUACAAAUUAAGCAAAAUCAAAAAGGUAUAUACUUUCAUAAAACUAAAUAUAAAAAAGAGCUUCUUAGGAAGUUUAAGAUGAGUGAUUGCAAAACUAUGACUACACCAAUGCACCCUACUUGUUCACUUGAAAAAGACGAUUCAUGCAAAAAAGUUGACCAAAAAACCUAUAGAGGAGUUAUAGAAUCUCUACUUUACCUUACCGCUUCCAGACCUGACAUCAUAUAUAGUGUAUGUGUAUGUACAAGAUUUGAAGUUGACCAUAGCGGAUGACAUUUAACAGUUGUUAAGAGAAUCCUUAGAUACCAAAAAGGCACUAGCAAUCUUACCUUGUUCUACAAGAAAUCUCCUAAGUACAAAAUGAGUGGAUAUUGCGAUUUUGAUUAUGUUGGAGAUUUACAUGAGAGAAAUAGCCCUAAUGACAACUGCACCUUUCUAGGUGACAACUUAAUAUAUUGGUCAAGUAAGAGACAAAAUACCAUUGCAAUUUCAACAACAGAGGUUGAAUACAUUUCAACAACUAGUUGCAGUUCUCAACUAUUUUGGAUGGAGCAUCAACUUGAAGACUACAAAAUUCUAGAAUUCAACAUUCCCAUCUAUUGUGAUAACACUUUUGUCAUUUGUCUAACCAAAAAUCCUAUCUUACAUUCUAGAGAUAAACACAUAGAGAUCAAACAUCACUUCAUUAGGGACUUUGUUCAAAAAAGGAUACUAAACAUUCAAUUUGUAGACACUGAACACCAAUGGGAUGACAUAUUCACCAAACCACUACCUGAAGAUAGGUUUGACUUCAUCAAGAAAAAUAUAAAUCUUACCUUCAUAUGUGAUUGAUGUCGUGAUAACUUCAAAGUAGUUAAGCUUUACAUUAGUUUUAUAUUUUCUUGUAAUAUGUUAUAUUAGUGUUAUUAAAAAAUAAAAAAAAUAAAGAACAAAAAAAAAAAACAAUAAAUGAAGAAAAAAACUCACAUUCAAGUAUUUUUGUCUGAUGACAAAAUGGGGAGAAAUAUAUUUGAUAAACGAGAGAGAAAAUGAUACUUAGACUUAGGAUAGUCAAAGAAAUAUAAAGAACAUUUGUUAUAAAAAAUACAAGUUUUGUCAUCACAACAAAGUAUUUUAUGAUAACAAUAUAUUUGAAAGAAGAUAUGGUCAAGAUUUAUCUACAACAAAAUAUGAACAUAAUCAAUCUAAAGAGUUUACAAACGCAAUUUGAACAAAAUACGAACAUAAUCAAUCUAAAGAAUUUACAAUCUCAAUCUAAACAAAAUAGGAACAAAAUCAAUCUGAAGAAUUUACAAACACAAUUUGAACAAAAUACAAUUCAUAAUUAAACAAAGACUAAAUUGAAGCCUAAUUUUAACUAUAAAUAAAUACUCAAGGCUAAAGAAGAAAAUAAUCAAAAAGUAGAAAAGAGUAGUCUUAGAGUUCAAGAGAGAAAUACUUGUUCAAGUUAGAAAUAUUUUCUGAGUGUUCUUUUCUUAUAGUGAGUCGGUUUUUAUUAUUAUCAACUUUGAUAAAAGCAACUAUUCAAGUUUCAAUCUUUUGUAUUUCAAGGUUGGUAGGAGAAGACUUGACUUGUAGGGUCAAAAUGGUUAGUUCCUCAAAAGUUUAGGGUUGUCAAGUUGUUUCGGAAGACUAGCUUUGAGAGUUAGGUGCUUUGUAAUUCAAGGUAAUUGAAUUAGUGGAUUAAAGCCUUUUGUAUAAGGGGACUGGAUGUAUCCAAGUUAGUUGUGAACUAAAAUAAAUCUAUGUGUCAAAUUAUUUAUGUUUUCAUUGUUUGUUACCUCUAAAUCUGAUUGCUUCUUAUCCAAAUAAUUCAUAAAAAUCAAUCAACCUACAUCACAUUAGCAAAAAGUUGUCAAUUUUGUCGAACACAAUUCAAACACACCCCUUUAUACCAAUCAACUACAUAAACGCGGAUCAAAGAUGAAAUCUCAUCGAAUGGUUCGCAAACAACCUUUAAACAUCGCACCUAGUGUACCCAAGAGAAGUAGGCAAUCAAGUGAGUGUUAUCCGUAGUGAUCCAUGUGUUAGUUGGAAAUUCAAGAGACAAGCCCCUUCGAUGAUGGUAGAUGCCAAAAUUAAAGAUAACUAACAGCAAACAAGAUGUUGGAAAUCCUCAGUCACUGUAAAUUAACGAACAAUUAGAUUCCUUCUCGCUUAAGGUUACAACAUGACCAUCACCGACCCAUGAAAGCCUACAAACUCACUCAGUAACCUAACAUAAUACCAACGGAUAUGAGGGUACAAAGGCAUGAAACACAAGAUCGUGUCCUCAAGACUAUUACACCCACAAAGGUACACACAAUUUUCAUAUACUUUCAUAUCCCUGUAAACCCAUCGCUAACUUAACCAUCAGUGUUUACAAUCAAGCGCCGCUUCAACUAUAAAUCUACUCACCCUCCACCCUCUAUAUUUCCUAAUUGCCUCACUCAAC